rnacentral:tRNA from 1 species
GUGACUACAGUGGUCACAUUUUGCAUAAAUAUAUUACAAUAAUUACAGUACGUUACUUCGAUUAAUCUUGGACUGAAAAUCCUCGUGUCGGCGGUUCGAUUCCGUCCCUGGGCACCA